AGGGGAGUGAAAUAGAACCUGAAACCGUGUGCUUACAAGUAGUCAGAGCCCGUUAAUGGGUGAUGGCGUGCCUUUUGUAGAAUGAACCGGCGAGUUACGAUUUGAUGCAAGGUUAAGCAGUAAAUGUGGAGCCGUAGCGAAAGCGAGUCUGAAUAGGGCGUUUAGUAUUUGGUCGUAGACCCGAAACCAGGUGAUCUACCCUUGGUCAGGUUGAAGUUCAGGUAACACUGAAUGGAGGACCGAACCGACUUACGUUGAAAAGUGAGCGGAUGAACUGAGGGUAGCGGAGAAAUUCCAAUCGAACCUGGAGAUAGCUGGUUCUCUCCGAAAUAGCUUUAGGGCUAGCCUCAAGUGAUGAUUAUUGGAGGUAGAGCACUGUUUGGACGAGGGGCCCCUCUCGGGUUACCGAAUUCAGACAAACUCCGAAUGCCAAUUAAUUUAACUUGGGAGUCAGAACAUGGGUGAUAAGGUCCGUGUUCGAAAGGGAAACAGCCCAGACCACCAGCUAAGGUCCCAAAAUAUAUGUUAAGUGGAAAAGGAUGUGGCGUUGCCCAGACAACUAGGAUGUUGGCUUAGAAGCAGCCAUCAUUUAAAGAGUGCGUAAUAGCUCACUAGUCGAGUGACACUGCGCCGAAAAUGUACCGGGGCUAAACAUAUUACCGAAGCUGUGGAUUGUCCUUUGGACAAUGGUAGGAGAGCGUUCUAAGGGCGUUGAAGCAUGAUCGUAAGGACAUGUGGAGCGCUUAGAAGUGAGAAUGCCGGUGUGAGUAGCGAAAGACGGGUGAGAAUCCCGUCCACCGAUUGACUAAGGUUUCCAGAGGAAGGCUCGUCCGCUCUGGGUUAGUCGGGUCCUAAGCUGAGGCCGACAGGCGUAGGCGAUGGAUAACAGGUUGAUAUUCCUGUACCAC
rnacentral:rRNA from 1 species